CGGGAAGUGGAAGGUGACAAGAACUCAAGGUUGGGCUGAGAGGUGGGAAACUUUGAGAUGCCCUUGCCCCGCACCUAUAGCUGAGACACAAGGUGCGUACAAUGGCGGCAGCCUCAGGAUCCAGCCCGCUCUCCCAGGGAAGAAACUGAGGCAGAGAGCAGCUAAGUAACUUGAUCAAGGCCACAGCUGGUCAUGGAUUCCUCUGAGAUACUAAUAAUGCAAUGGACCCUCUCCCUAGAGAUAUGCACAUGAGUUUUUGCAUAAUACUUAGAAAGAUUCACAAAUACCACCUCUCCCUCCAAUCUCAUCAAUUGUCUUUCCACAGGGCCACAGACUCCUCCCUAUAUAUACAUUCUGUUCAGAGGGCCUAAAAAAAUUAGCUAGGGUCAGACAUGAUGAGCUCUAGUGGCCUGGGAACAGGAGUGAUUAAACAGCAAUAAAGGGCUUUUCUCCAAAUUGGGUUA